rnacentral:rRNA from 1 species
UACGGAGGGAGCUAGCGUUGUUCGGAAUUACUGGGCGUAAAGCGCGCGUAGGCGGCUUUGUAAGUUAGAGGUGAAAGCCCGGAGCUCAACUCCGGAACUGCCUUUAAGACUGCAUCGCUAGAAUCCGGGAGAGGUGAGUGGAAUUCCGAGUGUAGAGGUGAAAUUCGUAGAUAUUCGGAAGAACACCAGUGGCGAAGGCGGCUCACUGGACGGGCAUUGACGCUGAGGUGCGAAGGCGUGGGAGCAAACAGG